GACGAACGCUGGCGGCGUGCUUAACACAUGCAAGUCGAACGGUGAAGCCCCAGCUUGCUGGAGUGGAUCAGUGGCGAACGGGUGAGUAACACGUGAGCAACCUGCCCCUGACUCUGGAAUAAGCGCUGGAAACGGCGUCUAAUACUGGAUACGAGAAGGGUCCGCAUGGGCACUUUCUGGAAAGUUUUUCGGUUGGGGAUGGGCUCGCGGCUUAUCAGCUUGUUGGUGAGGUAAUGGCUCACCAAGGCGACGACGGGUAGCCGGCCUGAGAGGGCGACCGGCCACACUGGGACUGAGACACGGCCCAGACUCCUACGGGAGGCAGCAGUGGGGAAUAUUGCACAAUGGGCGAAAGCCUGAUGCAGCGACGCCGCGUGAGGGAUGACGGCCUUCGGGUUGUAAACCGCUUUCAGCAGGGAAGAAGCGAAAGUGACGGUACCUGCAGAAGAAGCACCGGCUAACUACGUG
rnacentral:rRNA from 1 species